CACGUAGGCACCAAGCGUUGUCCGGAUUUAUUGGGCGUAAAGAGCUCGUAGGCGGUUCGGUAAGUCGGGUGUGAAAACUUUGGGCUCAACCCAAAGCCUGCACUCGAUACUGCUGUGACUUGAGUCCGGUAGGGGAGUGGGGAAUUCCUGGUGUAGCGGUGGAAUGCGCAGAUAUCAGGAGGAACACCGGUGGCGAAGGCGCCACUCUGGGCCGGUACUGACGCUGAGGAGCGAAAGCCAGGGGAGCAAACGGG
rnacentral:rRNA from 1 species